ACUCGCUUACCUGAGAGAUUAGAGCAUCGCAUUUGUAGUGCGAUGGUCAUCGGUUCGAUUCUGAUAGCCGGCU
rnacentral:tRNA from 1 species